AGCGGCGGACGGGUGAGUAACGCGUGGGUAACCUGCCUCAUACAGGGGGAUAACAGUUGGAAACGGCUGCUAAUACCGCAUAAGCGCACAGUACCGCAUGGUACGGUGUGAAAAACUCCGGUGGUAUGAGAUGGACCCGCGUCUGAUUAGGUAGUUGGUGGGGUAACGGCCUACCAAGCCGACGAUCAAUAGCCGACCUGAGAGGGUGACCGGCCACAUUGGGACUGAGACACGGCCCAG
rnacentral:rRNA from 1 species